AUGGAGAUGGAGGCCAGCAAUGGGGCGAGGUGCGGCGGCAUCACGGAGACCUUCGGCACGGUGGAAGAGCGGCUGCUGCGGCUGGAGGUGGUGGUGCUGGCGAGCGCGCUGGUGCUGUCGUCGCUGGUGCUGUACGGCUCGACCCAGCGCCGGAGCAGCGACCGGGUGCUCCGGGGCGUCAUGUGGAUCGCCUACUCGCUCUCCUACGUCGUGGUCACCUACGCCGUCGGCAUCAUCCAGGAAGGCCCCUUCCACGGCCAGACCUUCGUGCUCUGGGCGUCCGCGCUGCUACUCAUCCAGGCCAGCGCGUACGCGGCGCCCGUGCACAGCCGCCGCGACGUCGACCAGCGCAAGAAGCUGCUGCUGCAGCACGCCCUCCAGACGGCGCUCGUGCUCUGGCUCAUCCUCAAGGCCAUCGGCGCCAACGCCAGCUACCGAGCGGCCAUCUGGGCCUUCUGGAGCCUCAGCGUGCUCAAGACGACCGCCAAGAUUGUCGAGAUGGUCCGGUCCAGCCUCCCGGACCCGUCGGUGAAGGUCGUCGCCGAGUACAUGGACGUCGAGGACUUCCUAGCCGCCGACCAGUUGCCGCACGACCCCGCCACCAUGAAGGGGUACAAGUACCUUUUCCACGGCGAGGAGGCCAUCCAGCGGCAGCUGAUCCACCAACCCCGUUCUUCCCAGGACGAGAUACUGAUGACGACGGCGACCAGCUCGGCGCUGACGAGGACGACGAGCUCGAUACUGACGGCGACGACGAGCUCCGCCCCCGCCCCCGCCAAGGUGAAGGGGGUCGUGACGAUCGAUCAAGUUUACCGGUGGAUCGAUCGCCAGGCAUACAGCGACGCCGAGAAGGACAUGACCAAGGACUUCUGCCUGGCCUUCUCGCUGUUCAAGCUGCUGAAGCGGCGGUUCUUCGGGUACAGCCCCGCGGAAGCCGGCUCGCCCAAGUCACUGGACCUCGUGCUGACCGGCCUCAUCCACCACGCCGUCACCGGCCCUGACGCCGCCUUCCGGGUCGUGGAAGCGGAGCUCGCCUUCCUCUACGACUUCUUCUACACCAGGAACAUCCUCCCGGUGGGGGUCAGGACCUACAUCUUCAUCGCCGUCGUCAUGCUCAGCCUCACAAUGUGGACGGCCUUCGUCGGCACGCUCGGCCCCGGCUACAGCCGUCCUCACGUGGGCGUGAAGGACCUCGACCGCUCCGUCACGGUGGUGCUCGUGGUGAUCACGGCGGGGCUCGAGGUCUGCCAGGCGCUGGCCGCCUUCUCCAACAACUGGCGGUACGUGAUGACCGUGUACCGCUGCGUGCGCGACGACCGGCCCUGGACCAAGCAGCGGCACGGCCACCUCUGGUGCUGGAAACAGAGCAUCACUCCGCCGGCGACGACCUACUGGGAGCAGAAGAUCGGCCAGUACGUGCUCCUGCACUGGUACGACCACCGGCCGUGGAACGUGCGGUCGUGGGUCACGCUCUACCUGGUGGAACCACGGCGGCAGGGCCAGAAGAAAGGCAGCAGAAAGGCUCUGCCUCAGCAGGUCAAGCGAGCCGUGCUCGCCUCGCUCAAGGCCAGCCGCGGCGAGCUCACCAAUGGCGUCGCCACCGUGCAGAGGCACGGCCUGUCGCAGCAGCUGACAUGGGCGUGCAGGUUACCCAAGGUCACCGACCAGAUCCUGGUGUGGCACGUCGUCACCACUCGCUUCAAGUGGAUUAGCGGCCGUGGUGGUGAUACUGUCGAUGCUCGGGGUGACGGUGUCGACGACCACAGGCUCGUGGCGAGGAAGCUGUCCAACUACUGCGCCUACCUGGUGGCCUUCGUGCCGGAGAUGCUGCCGGACCCGAGCUACAACGCCGAGCAGAUCUUCGACACGGCGGUGCGGCAGGCUAGGGUCCACCUCGACGGCUGUCGGACCAAGGCCGAUAUCCUCGACCGGCUAGAUAAGAUACAGAGCAAGGAGGAGAAUUACCUGGAGGGCGGCAGCCUGUACGAGAGAGCCGGCAGCAGCAGUAUCAUAGAGAAGGCGGCGGUGCUCGGCGGGCAGCUCAGGGCGUCCGUGCCCGACGAAGGGCGGCGAUGGAAGGUGCUGGCGGAGUUCUGGGCCGAGUUCAUAUUGUUCCUCGCGCCGUCGGACAACGUGGACAUCCACGCCGAGAUGCUCGGCGCCGGCGGCGAGUUCAUGACACAACUGUGGGCUCUGCUCUCACACGCCGGAAUCCUGGAGCGGACGGCCGCUGCCAUGCCGUCGGCACCAGCAAGGACCUGA
rnacentral:rRNA from 1 species